ensembl:lncRNA
AGAGAAUAAUACUCUGUGAUCUUUUAUUUUAUUUAGUACACAGGUGCUGCUCCAGAGGAAAGGCCAGGUACAUUUCAGAUCUUUCUCCAGACGGAUAUUUUGUCAUGGCGAGCACAGGAGUACAGAGGGAUAUCAUGCGGAUUGCCGUCUCCUCUGCAAAUGGCUCUGUGUAUAGUAAGUUCAUUCUAAAAUGGAAUCAUAUUAUAAACUAUGUCCAAACAAAUUACCGUCAAGCUGAAAGCAGGUGGGUUUUUUUGACAGGUUGAGGGCAUUAGUAAUCUAACGCAUGAACCUCUCUCCUCUUUGCAAGGGCCCCCAGCUUCAAAGUAAUACACC